CAGCAGCCACGGGAAUACGUAGGGUGCAAGCGUUAAUCGGAAUUACUGGGCGUAAAGCGUGCGCAGGCGGUUUGUUAAGACAGAUGUGAAAUCCCCGGGCUCAACCUGGGAACUGCAUUUGUGACUGGCAAGCUAGAGUAUGGCAGAGGGGGGUGGAAUUCCGCGUGUAGCAGUGAAAUGCGUAGAUAUGCGGAGGAACACCGAUGGCGAAGGCAGCCCCCUGGGCCAAUACUGACGCUCAUGCACGAAAGCGUGGGGAGCAAACAGGAUUAGAUACCCGCGUAGUCCCUGUCUCUUAUAA
rnacentral:rRNA from 1 species